rnacentral:siRNA from 1 species
CGUAUUUUCUCCGGAUCAACCGAU